rnacentral:sRNA from 12 species
CCUUGACAGUUACAAUAAUGUAACUGACAUUUGCCACGACAAGGAGAUUUAAAUG